rnacentral:rRNA from 1 species
GUGAGGAAUAUUGGUCAAUGGACGAGAGUCUGAACCAGCCAAGUCGCGUGAAGGAAGACGGUUCUAUGAAUUGUAAACUUCUUUUGUGCAGGAAUAAAGUGGGUUACGUGUAACCUUUUGUAUGUACUGUACGAAUAAGGAUCGGCUAACUCCGUGCCAGCAGCCGCGGUAAUACGGAGGGUGCAAGCGUUAUCCGGAUUUAUUGGGUUUAAAGGGUGCGUAGGUGGAUUGAUAAGUCAGCGGUGAAAGUUUGCAGCUUAACUGUAAAAUUGCCGUUGAAACUGUCGGUCUUGAGUGCAAAUGAGGUAGGCGGAAUGUGUUGUGUAGCGGUGAAAUGCUUAGAUAUAACACAGAACUCCGAUUGCGAAGGCAGCUUACUGGGAUGCAACUGACACUGAUGCACGAAAGCGUGGGUAUCAAACAGGAUUAGAAACCCUGGUAGUCC